rnacentral:lncRNA from 1 species
AGGUCUCGUUCAUUGAGACCUUUUGGUUGACUUUUUUCAAUUGAUAGUUGAGCCAAUCACAGGUUUUCUAGUUGCUACUCCUCAGCUUCAAUGUAGCCGAGGUCAAAGAUCGUAAAUUCUAGUGGCCAUUUGGUAGUCUUUUAAACAUGUGUUUGAAUAACGUCACUCCUAUCAACUUCGACCAUUCCAAAGAAUUUUUCUCUAUCUUAUUUUUCAAAGGAUGCAUAUCAUUGAAUCCCAAGCUAUCUUUAUGAGGGCUAAAAUUUUGCAAUGAUAGCCUUUGAAGAUUGAGCCUUAUAGAGUAUUUCCUAAUAGAAAGCUUAUCAUCAA